rnacentral:rRNA from 1 species
CACGGCUCAACCGUGGAGGGUCAUUGGAAACUGGGAGACUUGAGUGCAGGAGAGAAAAGUGGAAUUCCACGUGUAGCGGUGAAAUGCGUAGAGAUGUGGAGGAACACCAGUGGCGAAGGCGGCUUUUUGGCCUGUAACUGACGCUGAGGCGCGAAAGCGUGGGGAGCAAACAGGAUUAGAUACCCUGGUAGUCCACGCCGUAAACGAUGAGUGCUAGGUGUUGGGGGGUUCCACCCUCAGUGCUGAAGUUAACACAUUAAGCACUCCGCCUGGGGAGUACGACCGCAAGGUUGAAACUCAAAGGAAUUGACGGGGGCCCGCACAAGCAGUGGAGCAUGUGGUUUAAUUCGAAGCAACGCGAAGAACCUUACCAGGUCUUGACAUCCUCUGACCACUCUAGAGAUAGAGCUUUCCCCUUCGGGGGACAGAGUGACAGGUGGUGCAUGGUUGUCGUCAGCUCGUGUCGUGAGAUGUUGGGUUAAGUCCCGCAACGAGCGCAACCCUUGACCUUAGUUGCCAGCAUUCAGUUGGGCACUCUAAGGUGACUGCCGGUGACAAACCGGAGGAAGGUGGGGAUGACGUCAAAUCAUCAUGCCCCUUAUGACCUGGGCUACACACGUGCUACAAUGGAUGGUACAAAGGGUUGCGAAGCCGCGAGGCCAAGCCAAUCCCAAAAAGCCAUUCUCAGUUCGGAUUGUAGGCUGCAACUCGCCUACAUGAAGCCGGAAUUGCUAGUAAUCGCGGAUCA